rnacentral:lncRNA from 1 species
GCAUAGAUGAUGGUUAUUGUUGCAUAGAUGUUGAAUGUUGUUGCAUAAAUGUUGUAUGAGUAUGAAUUUCAAUUGCAUAGAUGUUGUAUGUCGUUGCAUAGAUGUUGGGUUUUUGUUGUUUUUUUUUAUAUUGCAUAGAUUAUGGUUGUUGUUGCAUAGAUGUGCAAACUGGUUGCAUAGAUAUAAAAUUUCAAUCAAUUUUUUUGUUAAAUGUUUUUUAGAUUGCAUAGAUGAUGAUUAUUGUUACAUAGGUGUGCGAUUUUUUUGAUUGGAUGUUGUAUGAAAAUCAAUUUCAAUUGCAUAGAUGUUGUAUGUCGUUGCAUAGAU